GAUGAACGCUGGCGGCGUGCCUAAUACAUGCAAGUCGAGCGAACAGACGAGGAGCUUGCUCCUCUGACGUUAGCGGCGGACGGGUGAGUAACACGUGGAUAACCUACCUAUAAGACUGGGAUAACUUCGGGAAACCGGAGCUAAUACCGGAUCAUAUAUUGAACCGCAUGGUUCAAUAGUGAAAGACGGUUUUGCUGUCACUUAUAGAUGGUUCCGCGACGCAUUAGCUAGUUGGUAAGGUAACGGCUUACCAAGGCAACGAUGCGUAGCCGACCUGAGAGGGUGAUCGGCCACACUGGAACUGAGACACGGUCCAGACUCCUACGGGAGGCAGCAGUAGGGAAUCUUCCGCAAUGGGCGAAAGCCUGACGGAGCAACGCCGCGUGAGUGAUGAAGGUCUUCGGAUCGUAAAACUCUGUUAUUAGGGAAGAACAAAUGUGUAAGUAACUAUGCACGUCUUGACGGUACCUAAUCAGAAAGCCACGGCUAACUACGUG
rnacentral:rRNA from 1 species